rnacentral:rRNA from 1 species
AGAGUUUGAUCCUGGCUCAGAACGAACACUGGCGGCGUGGUUUAGGCAUGCAAGUCGAACGUGAAAGCUUCCUUCGGGAAGUUAGUAAAGUGGCGAACGGGUGAGUAACGCGUGGGAAAUCUUCCCUUCGAUGGGGGAUAACAGUUCUAACGAGCUGCUAAUACCGCAUACGACCUCUGGACCGCAUGGUCUGGAGGUGAAAGGGGGCGCCUCUUCGGAGAGCUCCCGUCGAUGGAUGAUCCCGCGUCCCAUUAGCUAGUUGGCGGGGUAAUGGCCCACCAAGGCGACGAUGGGUAGCCGGCCUGAGAGGGUGUCCGGCCACACUGGGACUGAGAUACGGCCCAGACUCCUACGGGAGGCAGCAGUCGAGAAGCUUCGGCAAUGGGCGAAAGCCUGACCGAGCGACGCCGCGUGAGCGAAGAAGGCCCUAUGGGUUGUAAAGCUCUGUCAGAUUGGGAAGAAAACCUCGCGGUUAAUACCCGUGAGGCUUGACGGUACCAUCAGAGGAAGCACCGGCUAACCCCGUGCCAGCAGCCGCGGUAAUACGGGGGGUGCAAGCGUUGUUCGGAUUCACUGGGUAUAAAGGGUGCGCAGGCGGACUGGUAAGUCAGAGGUGAAAUUUGUCGGCUCAACCGACAAACUGCCCCUGAAACUGCCAGUCUUGAGUCCGGGAGAGGUAGGUGGAAUUCCAGGUGUAGCGGUGAAAUGCGUAAAUAUCUGGAGGAACACCGGUGGCGAAGGCGGCCUACUGGCCCGGAACUGACGCUCAGGCACGAAAGCUAGGGGAGCGAACGGGAUUAGAUACCCCGGUAGUCCUAGCCGUAAACGAUGGGUACUAGGUGUUGGAGGAUUCUACCCCUUCAGUGCCGCAGCUAAUGCAUUAAGUACCCCACCUGGGGAGUACGAUCGCAAGGUUGAAACUCAAAGGAAUUGACGGGGGCCCGCACAAGCGGUGGAGCAUGUGGUUUAAUUCGAU